AUGCACCAGGCCCUCCUCGGCCUCAUCGCCUCCCCUGGCGGCGGCGGCCACUACAUGGUCUCGGAGCUGCGCCCCAUCAUGGGCACUGACGAAGCCACGCUCCUCUCCUUCUCGUCCGAGGUCGGGAAGUGGGUCGAGCACUACCCGCUCCCGCGCCGCAUCUUCGCGCCCAUCGGCGUGGUCUCGCACCACGGGAGGCUCUGGUGGGUCGACCUCACAUGGGGCGUCAUCACCAGCGACCCCUUCGCCAGCGACCCGGCCCUCCGCUUCGUGCCGCUCCCGCCGGACAGGGUGCUGCGGUCCAGGGAAGCUUGGGGAGAGUCCGACAUGUACCGCUGCGUGGGGGUGAGCGCCGGCAAGCUGCGGUUCGUCGACACCUACUACAUGGGCCGUGUCAUCGGCGGCACUCCCAACAUCAGCGUGUGGACGCUGCCUGGUCCGGACUCCACGGAGUGGACGCUGGAGCACGAGGUAAGCUUUGGUGAGAUCUGGGCCGAUGAGAGCUACAAGGCCACUGGGCUGCCCGUGGAGAUCCCCACGCUCGCACUCAUCCAUCCCGAGAACCCCGACGUCGUCUACUUCUUCCUGGAGAAGCACAUGUUCGGUGUCGACGUGCGUGCGCGCAAGGUUGUGGACUGCAAGCUCUACGACCUGGUUGCGCCGCCGAGGUGCGCAGUCGCCAGCCGCUUCGUCCGAGCGUGGAGGCUUCCACAACAACAAUCACCAGGGAUGCUUAACUGGUCUAAUGAUCCAAUCUUGACUGCAAAAGACAAAUCUCCACAUGGGAGUUACCCCCUGGAGGGACUUACCAGCAAGACAUUCAUAGGAUGA
rnacentral:rRNA from 1 species